GGGGCUCUUAGAGGCACUGCAGAUGUGGCUGCUGUGCCUCAUGUGCAUCAUCAGUAGGUAGCUAAGAGGGGAGAGACUAUGUCUACACUCAGUGUUUUGACCUGUGAACAUCUGAAAGAUUAGAAGCCUAACAUU